AUUGAACGCUGGCGGCAUGCCUUACACAUGCAAGUCGAACGGUAACGCGGGGCAACCUGGCGACGAGUGGCGAACGGGUGAGUAAUGUAUCGGAACGUGCCCAGUUGUGGGGGAUAACUGCUCGAAAGAGCAGCUAAUACCGCAUACGACCUGAGGGUGAAAGCGGGGGAUCGCAAGACCUCGCGCAAAUUGAGCGGCCGAUGUCAGAUUAGGUAGUUGGUGGGGUAAAGGCCCACCAAGCCGACGACGCCUACCGGGCGUGCGAGCGUGGCCCGACACACUGGAACUGAGACACGGUCCGGACAUCUACGGGUGGCAGCAGUCGAGAAUUUUUCUCAAUGGGGGAAACCCUGAAGGAGCGACGCCGCGUGGAGGAUGAAGGCUUUCGGAUUGUAAACUCCUGUCAUUUGGGAACAAACCUUUCAUUUAACUGAUGGAAGACUGAUAGUACCAGAAGAGGAAGAGACGGCUAACUCUGUGCCAGCAGCCGCCGUAAAAC
rnacentral:rRNA from 1 species